AAAAUAAAAUUCCCAAUAUUUAGAUGUUUUCUAUUUAAUAGUAGAGGUUAUCGAUUUUUAAUUUUACAAAGUAUAGAAACAACAAUCCAUACUACAUACAUAUGUAAUUUGUUUACUUUCUCUCAGCAAUUGCGAUGUAUCGUCCGUCAGUCGUGAUUUUUAUAGAUAUAUUCACCACCAAAUAGUUUGUGUUUUCGCCUUGAAUUCGUUGGAUUUGUUUUUCAUUGCGCAUUCGAAUCGCAGCGUCAGCAAAAGAGGUCGCGUCGCGAGGUGUCUUCGUCUUAGCAACGCACGGUUCGAACAUGUUCUAAUUUAGAAAAAAAUCAUUUAAAACGCCCUCAAAUUUCUGCAAAUAUAAAUACUAAGCAAAAUGUCGUUUUAAAUACUAACAAUUGUGCAAAACUUUAAAGAAUUUAACUGCGAAAAGAUCAUAAAUUAAAAAAUUGAAAUAUGUGUUUCCUUUGACUAAAGUACAUCGCAUCAUAUAUAGCAGCCCCCCAAAUAAAAAAUUGCAUAACAGCGUCAGUAGAUGUGUGUAUUUUGUGUAUGGUGUGUAUGUGUGCGUUAAUGAAUAAAAACAACAGAAAUAGCAAGAAAAUAGAAGAGAGCGAGAGAGUUUAUAUUAUGUAUUCGGUUUGUCACGAAGAAACAAUAAUAUAAACAACAAAAAUAGAAAACAGUAAAUUUAAAGAAGGGUGUGUUAGUGUGUGUAUGUGGAAAUGUUUUUACAAACAAAAUAAAUUCACCACUAUUACAACAAAACUAACAUUUAUUAUUUUACCACACCACCUUAGCAACUGCUAAAUAAAUUUAUACAGAACUAUCUAAUGCUACGUAUAACUAGCAUUUGAAUGUAUCUAGCAGAGUAUUAAUCUACUUACUUAUUCAUAUACAGCAACAACACAAAAUAAACAUAAUAAAUAUCCGUCCAGUGUUUUAAGAAGCGUAUUUACUUCUCCCUGUAUCUAAAUACAUUCAUACUUAUUUAGAUACAAUUAUAUAGAUACUCUACAUAUGUACAUAUGUAUAUAUGUAUGUAUAUAUUUAUUAUGAAUCUGCAUAAGUUAAACAUGCAUCUGAGUGUGUGUGUGCGUGAAUGUUUGUUUUGAUUCACACAAAUAGAAAAAUAAAAUAAAAAGUCUGUGUAGUGCAAGUUAUUCAAAAAAAUUAAAAAAAAAAAUAAUUAAAAACAAAAGAAGUCCAUGAAGCCCCGCUUUAUAAUGUCAAAAGUGUAAAUAUUUAAACAAUACAACGCAAUUUUAUAGGAUUUUUUAUACAACACAUUUUAAAAUAUUCGAAUAAUAUAAAUUGGGGAUAAUAAGAUUUAAUUUGACAACAUUCAAUUUAUGUACUAACUAAAACCCACCGGUAAAAUAUUAAUUGCAAAAUCAGCAACGUGGAAUUGGAUUUGCAACAAAUAAAAACAAAAAUCCAACAAUUCGACCGUAGUACCAAUAAUACACCUUAUAAACAAAAUAAACUUAAAGAGAAGCACAAAAAUUGGCAAAGCAACAAUGAUGGCGCAAACCAAAAGUUAGGAAACCACAAUUUCAAACAUAAUCAUAAAACAUCAUUAUCAUCAUCGAAGUCUUAAUCAUAAUGCUCCACAACAGCAAUAGAAAAUAAGCAGCCAAGCAGGCAAAGAACAACAACAAAACAAUUAAAAUAAAAAAAACUUGAACAUAUGAAGUUGAAGAAGUUGCAUUUUAAAAUUCACCACAACCGUUCUUUCAGGUGUAAUAAACAAUACACUCUCACAUAUUCAUAGAUACAAAUGAGAGAGAGCUGCAUUUUUAAGAGAAAUAUCAAGUGAGAGUUGGACAUAAACACCUUAAAAACAGUGUAUCUGGUUGUUUACAUGAAGCGGUCAAAAGAAAGGUAGAAAUAUAAAAAACAUACUGCCUGGCCGUCUGGAUGUGUUCGUAUAAGUUGCGGCGAUAGCAAAAAAGAAGGUAAAACAAAGCAGAAAUCAAAAAACAUAGAGCGAAGUAUAAAAGCCAAAUUAGAAUUAGCAACGUAACCAACAGUAUUUAAAAACUACAACAAAAGCUGAAAUUCAAGUAACAAACGCCUAGCGUUAAAAAGAGACAUCAAUAUUGUAAUAAAUACAACGUCAACAAACCAACACCAAUACACACGUACAACGUAAUUCACCACUUGGUAAACGUUCCAGAGAGAGAGUGUGAAAGAGAAGAAUAACAAGUCAAGUUAAUAACAGAAUCGCAUAGAACAGGCAAAAAGAAACAACUACAGUCAACCAUCAAAACCAACUCGCAAUAGAACAAACAGCUAACGAGGAGCAAAUCGACCGACCGAGCGACCAAACGUCGGACAUAAGUUUUGUUUUUUGUGCGGUCGAAGAGCAAAUAACGCAGCAAUUGUCGGCGAUUCCGCAGUCUGCUUUAGAAGGGACAUGGCCGUCUUUUUGCUCAACAUUUGUAAAUUUAAUGGCUGCGGAAUCACAUUUCCAAGUUUGGGUGAUUUAAUCCAACACAUUGAGGACACACAUAUUGGUAAGUUGAAAUAUCAAUAUGUAUGUACAUUUAUGUAUUGAUGUAUCUAUGUUGUUUUAGAAUAUAAAUGUGUGUGUGUGUG